CUCAGUUGAGUGUGCUGAGUCACCAGGAGAGUGCCUGAGAGCCAAAGGUUGGAUGGAGAUCUAAGGCGCCAUGUGAUCCUGGGAAGAGGACGCCAGUGGAAGGUGUCCUCAAUAAGAGAUUCAGGAGAAAGACCACUGACCCAAGAAGACCACUGACCCAACUCAUGGCCAAAUGAAUCAGAAGUACUGGAGGUUGGAGACAGAGAUCAAAUGGCAGCACUGUUGGAUUCUGCUGUUUCUCUGUGAUCGAAAUGAACAACCAAAACUCAGAAUUUCUCUUGUUCUUAUGUUCUUCAUUCAUGCACCAUGAAGAAGAAAUUUCUCAGUGAGGAGAGAGUAGCAGUUACUGUGUAAGUGGGAGACCAUGGCUUGCUGCAUCUCUGGAGUAAACUCUCAGAAAUGUUGGGUGCUGCUUUGACGUACACAAAGAAUGGGAAAGGAAAGCAGCCCUCUGUGAGGAACGUGGAUGGAUAGUUUGGCAGAUGCUUCAACUGCUGUGUGGCAAGGCCAAGAGGAAGGAAAAUAUAUUCCAUUUUGGAGAUGACAUUUUCAAGUUUCACAUUCUAAUUAUUAGACACUUUCUCACAGUGUUUGCACUGUUUCAUUUUUAGAUGAAAAAUGAUUUAACACCCCAGUGUUAGAACUCUUCAUGAUGACAUAUUAUGUUCAGCUUGGGUCAUUCAAGUUCAAAGGUCCAGAGGACUGGGAAGACUGCUGCAAAGUGGUGUCUUCUGGACACAAGGAUGUUGCACCAAUAAACUCACAGCAGCUGUGGAAGACUGAAUAUUGAGGAGGAGGUACAGGUGGUCCACAGCUACUGGAGAAGGAAGAGUGGGUUUUCUUCAGGGAUGGGGACACUGGUAGGUUGCCGAUGCUCCAGUGGUUAUUCAAAGUACAAGAAGAGCACAUGAAUUUGAGAGCGAGAUGUUUGUGUGAGGAACUGAGGAGUUGUUGGGAAUAGGGUUGGUUAUGAUGAAAUGAGUUGUAUUUGGGUGAAGAUAAUAGCUACUUCCUGUGGGAGGAAAUGUGGAAGAACACUAGGCCAUUUUGCCAAUUCUUUUCCUGAAUUCAUAUGCCUUUCAUGAAAUCAAAGAUUAUUUUGAAAAAGAAGACAUAAUAAAAGCAUAGACAUAAUAAAACAAUGUAAUAUAUAAAAUGAAAUAGAGUAGUUGAUUUUCCUUUUUCUCUAGCAUUUGGUGUUUUUUUAACAGUAAGUGAACUGAGACCAACAGAGCAUUUCUCACCAUGACUGGGCUCCCUGGCAGAUGUUAGAGGGGUACUGGGUGGUGGCUGCAUGCUGUUCUUGUUAUCUGAAUGCUGAAGCCCUCCCCAGUCCUGACCAUCCUUCUUGCUCUUGGGGAAUGCUAGCCAUGAAUCUGCACUUAGAUGAAGGCCUUCACCUACUGAGACAACAAGCUGACAUAGUUUUGCAAGGUGUGUGUGUGUGUGUGUGUGUGUGUGUGUGUGUGUGUGUGUGUGUAAGUUUAUGAGGUCAGAAAUGCCAGGGUGUGUUAGUGUACUGACUGUAAUUGUUAGAUUUGAAAAAUGGGGUGAACCAAGUAAAAGAACAAAGAC
rnacentral:lncRNA from 1 species